AUUGUACUCCCCCUGUCCCAUAUUAAGUGACUCAAAUUUGUCUAAAUAUGGACGUAUUUAUAUACUAAAAUACUUCUAGAUACACAUAAUAUUUCGGCACAUAAUAUGGGACGGAGGGAGUAUAAA
rfam:Brachypodium distachyon strain Bd21 chromosome 2, whole genome shotgun sequence.